AUUUUGCACAAUGGGGGAAACCCUGAUCCCGCCAUCCCGCGUGUAAGAUGAAGGCCUUCGGGUUGUAAAGUACUUUUGGCAGAGAAGAAAAGGUAUCUCCUAAUACGAGAUACUGCUGACGGGAUCUGCAGAAUAAGCCGCGGCUAACCACGUUCCCGCAGCCGCGGUAAUACGUAUGGUGCAAGCGUUACUCGGAAUUACUGGGCGUAAAGCGUAUGUAGGCGGUUCGGAAAGAAAGAUGUGAAAGCCCAGGGCUCAACCUUGGAACUGCAUUUUUAACUGCCGAGCUAGAGUAUGUCAGAGGGGAGUAGAAUUCCACGUGUAGCAGUGAAAUGCGUAGAUAUGUGGAGGAAUACCGAUGGCGAAGGCAGCCCCCUGGGAUAAUACUGACGCUCAGACACGAAAGCGUGGGGAGCAAACA
rnacentral:rRNA from 1 species